rnacentral:rRNA from 1 species
GCCAGACUCCUACGGGAGGCAGCAGUGGGGAAUAUUGCACAAUGGGGGAAACCCUGAUGCAGCAACGCCGCGUGAGUGAAGAAGUAUUUCGAUAUGUAAAGCUCUAUCAGCAGGGAAGAAGAUGACGGUACCUGAGUAAGAAGCCCCGGCUAACUACGUGCCAGCAGCCGCGGUAAUACGUAGGGGGCAAGCGUUAUCCGGAAUUACUGGGUGUAAAGGGAGCGUAGACGGCUGUGCAAGCCUGAAGUGAAAGGCGGGGGCCCAACCCCCGGACUGCUUUGGGAACUGUACGGCUGGAGUGCAGGAGAGGUAAGUGGAAUUCCUAGUGUAGCGGUGAAAUGCGUAGAUAUUAGGAGGAACACCAGUGGCGAAGGCGGCUUACUGGACUGUAACUGACGUUGAGGCUCGAAAGCGUGGGGAGCAAACAGGAUUAGAUACCCUAGUA